GGACUACUGGGGUAUCUAAUCCUGUUUGCUCCCCACGCUUUCGCGCCUCAGCGUCAGUCAAGGACCAGGUCGCCGCCUUCGCCACCGGUGUUCUUCCCAAUAUCUACGAAUUUCACCUCUACACUGGGAAUUCCACGACCCUCUUCCUCACUCCAGAUCACACGUAUCAAAUGCAGCCCCCAGGUUAAGCCCGGGAAUUUCACAUCUGACUGUGCCAUCCGCCUACGCGCCCUUUACGCCCAGUCAUUCCGAGCAACGCUAGCCCCCUUCGUAUUACCGCGGCUGCUGGCAC
rnacentral:rRNA from 1 species